rnacentral:rRNA from 1 species
AUUGAACGCUGGCGGCAGGCCUAACACAUGCAAGUCGAGCGAGCGGCGGAUGGGUGUGUAAUGUAUGGGGACUGCCCGAUAGAGGAGGAUAAAAACUGGAAACGGUGGCUAAUAUCGCCUACUGUCGGAUAUCCCAUAGGGGAUUAGCUAGUAGGUAAGGUAAUGGCUUACCUAGGCGAAGAUCCCUAGCUGGUCUGAGAGGAUGAUCAGCCACACUGGGACUGAGACACGGCCCAGACUCCUACGGAGGCAGCAGUGGGGAAUAUUGCACAAUGGGCGCAAGCCUGAUGCAGCCAUGCCGCGUGUAUGAAGAAGGCCCUAGGGUUGUAAAGUACUUUCAGUCGGGAGGCGUUACCGACAGAAGAAGCACCGGCUAACUCCGUGCCAGCAGCCGCGGUAAUAC